GGUGUGAGGUGAUAUCUCUUAUUUGAAAAUUAAACCACAUAGCAAUAAAAUAUGGGUCAAAGAAGUAUUCUAAAAAAUACUUUCCCCCAAGAUUCAGGAGUUUUGCCUUUGCCACUUGCAACUCACCAUGGAGGUCCAAGCCAGUGCAAAAAGAAGUGAUUUGUAAAUUACUGGAGUCAUUUGAAGGCUGGAAGACAUCUUAUAUUGAUAAGGCAGCAAGAGGAACAACAUAAGAACUCUGAGAAAUCAGAAAUUGUGAAAGAAAUAUAAAGGAGCCAGUGGAGACCCACAAUCAGGAGACAAUACCAUAAGCAAAAGGAUCUUCUCCCUAAGUUUCAAGACAUUCUUCAUUGUAUAAUGAGAUAUUGCCCUGCUGAUAUUUGUAGCUAACUUUAGAACAGCCAUCUUUUCCAACGUUCACUUUAAAACUUGGCUACAGAUGUUUAUUAUACUUGAAAGUUUAUAUUUUUUAAUGUACUUCUAGUACAUCAUCAUUCAAGCUUGCAUUUGUGGAUUUGUGGUUUAUUUAUUUCCCCUCCCUUAUGCUGUGCAAUGUGAUUCCUUGGGUAUAAGAGGUGUAGGAGAUAAAAUUGGAUAAAAUGGAAUAUUCAACAUAAUGUGCAAUGGGUUUUUCACUGAGUUACUCCACUUUUCCUUAAGUUAUAGGAGCUCAUUUCAUUAUUCAGUGAACCCUCCAGUGACCCUGGGAUUUCACUAUAUAAUUUAUGUUUCCUGAUACAAUUCAACAGUAUAAUCUUAUGAUUUAUGUGCUUCAUUUAUAAUUUGAUCAUCUCAGUAUAAUGCAUGUUUUUCUACAUGAUUUAUGUACUUUAUACCAUAAUAUAUGUGGUCUCCUGUAUGAUAUAUGUAUUCAUCAGCUAGGUAUUAUGGCCCUGGUGGCACAUUCCUAGAAAAGGAGGGAGAAUACCCCAGCCUGAGGUAAGUCCUGGGGUUAAUUGCAAUCAGUUCACCUUCCACACAAUUACACUUCCAUCAGCAGGAGCUUGUGAAGUGAGUGCGCUCAACGUGGCAGCAGCAGCCAGGCGAGUGUGCCCGUUUCUUUCUUCUCUAGAUCCAGGAAAAAGCAAAAUCCAGUAGUAGAUCAAGGCAUCAGAGCCCAUGUCAGUUUCCUCUGAGAAAAGAGUAUUUCAGGUGUUGUCACAUUUCCAUCUUUCCGAAAUUUCCUGAUUCAAGCUGUAACAAAUAUGUAUUUCAGGAAGACUGGCAACAAAUAAACUUUCAUCGCAAAUAAUCAGUUUUUGAAAAAUAACUCUUAUUUAAGAACCAUAUUGAAACAAUGCAUAGAAAAUUCUCCACAAAGCAUUCUUUCAAAAGAAUUCAUUAAACUCACUUGUUCAACAAGCAUCACGAGUUCUGUCAGGUGUUUUCAUUUUCUGGAGCCUUUUUCUUUUUUAUAUUGACUUGUUCAUCCAUUUAGUCAAUAAAUAUGCAUUAAGCACUUACUUCGUUCCAGGCAACUAUAAACAGAUCAAAAGCCCUGUCUUCAUAAAGUUUGCAUUCUGUGGUGGGAGCUAGACAGUAAACACAUUGGUAAGGAAAGCAAAUAAUAUGGUAGCUUAGAAUAUGAUAGCUGCCAUGCAACACAAUAAAGCAUGGAAGGAAGGAGAAUAAGAAUUCCUAGGUGGGUAGGAAUACUUUUAAAAUUAAGUAAGGUACUUCAUAGAAGCCUUACUGACAACAGUGUGUGCAAAGAGGAGACAAUGAUGUUGAAAUGUACUAGGUGUGCUCUGGAAAGAAUGAAGAGGCUGGUGUGAUUAUAUGAGUGAGCAAGUGGGAAAGGGGGAGUACAUGAGUUCAGGCAGGAGUUCAUUAACAAAUAGAUAAUGCAGGACCUUGUAGACCAUUGCAAGCAUUUAAAAUUUUACUCUGACCAAGGAGGGAAGACUGGGGAGGGAAACAGGAACAACAUGAGCUGACUUCUGUUUUGACAAGAUUCCUCUGGGUGCUCUGCAGGCAGGUCUGUAGCAAGGAAGGAAAGGUGGGGCUCAGGAGGAGUAGUUAGGGGCUAUUGGAAUUGCCCAGGCUGCCAAUGAUACUGGGUUGGUUUAGGGUGAUGGUAGUAGCAAUGGUGAAAAGUGAUCAGAUUCUAGGGAGUUUUCAAGUUAAGCUGACAGAAUUUUCUGAGUGAUGUGUGAAAGAGGACAUCAACUUAUUUCUAAGCAAAGAAUCUUAAAUACUUGAAUAUGGAUAUAUUUGAUUCACUUUCAAAAUAAAUAAAUGGGGAGUACAGUACAUGGUUAUUCACCUGGAUAGUGAUAUUGAUAGUUGAGAGUGACUGAGUCAUUUGGUUCAUCUUCUCUUGAACGUACAUAUUCACACCAUUUGAAGUCUUUAUUCAAUGUCUUCAUGUCU